AAAUAGUUUAAAUUAGCUUUUAUUAAAUUCAUUUUAAAUAUAAUUUAAAAUAAAUAAUUUCAUUUUUAGUAUUUAUCUAAGAAAUAAGUUUAUUAGCUAUAAUUAUUUUACUGUAAGGGAAAGUUUAAUGUUUUUUAAAAGAAUAAAAUUAUUUAGUACCUUUUGUAUCAGGGUUUAUUCAAUUAUUUUUAAUAAUUUAAAACUCCCGAAAUUAAAAGAUAUACAAAAGGAUGUUUGAUGAUGUAAUAAAAUUAUAUAUAAUUUUUUUGUAGUAAUGAAAAGUUUUUCGAUUUUAAUAUAUCUGGUUCUUUAAUAUUUUAAUUUAAUUAAGCUUAAAUAUUUUAAUAGUAUAUUUAAUUAUAUAUUAAGUAAAUUUUAUAGGGAUUAGCUUGUAAAAUAUAUUAUAACUAUUACAUUAUAUUACAGUAUUGUAGGGCUAGAAUCCCCAUCUUUGAUUUCGUUAUAGAAAGGCUAUAAUUAGAUUUUAUUUUUUGUAGGUUUGGAAUAAUAUUAAUGUUAAUAUUUUAAUUAUAAGAUGUUUUAAUAAUGAUAAAAUUAGUAUUUUAUAAUAUAAUGUAUAGUAACUCGGCAAAUGUUGUUUUCAGCUGUUUAACAAAAACAUGUCCUUUAGGUUUUAUUUGAGGUCAGGCCUGCUCAAUGAUUUUAUAUUAAAUAGCCGCAGUAUUUUAACUGUGCAAAGGUAGCAUAAUCAUUUGCUUCUUAAUUAGGAGCUAGAAUGAAUGGUUUUAUGAAAAAUAUUCUUUCUUUACUUUAUUAUAAUAAAUUUUAUAUAUUAGUCAAAAAGCUAAUAUGUAUUUAUAAGACGAGAAGACCCUAUAAAACUUUAUUAAAUAAUUAAUUUUUAUUUAAAGAUAUAUAAUAAAUAUUUAAAUUGUUAUUUAAUUUUGUUGGGGUGACAAUUAAAUAACAAUAACUUUAAUUUAAACUAUUUUCAUUAAUUUAUGAUAAAUUUAUGAUCCAAUUUUAUUGAGUAAAAGAACAAGUUACUUUAGGGAUAACAGCGUAAUUUUAUUGGAGAGUUCUUAUUAAUAAUAAAGUUUGCGACCUCGAUGUUGGAUUAAAAUUAAUUUUUGGCGCAGAAGCUAAUAAACUAAGUCUGUUCGACUUUUAAAUUUUUACAUGAUCUGAGUUCAAACCGGUGUAAGCCAGGUUGGUUUCUAUCUUUAUUUUUAAUAUUUUAGUACGAAAGGACCAAAUAUUGGGAAUAAUUUUUAUUAUUUGAGGAUGCAGUUA
rnacentral:rRNA from 1 species